UGUAAUAGACGCUUUCGCUAUUGUCCUGGGGCACACAUGGAUUGGCUAUCGACUGUGGGAAACUCAAAGUCGCUUAGGACCCAUACAUUUAUAUGCAGCUGCUGCGUAUAAAUAGAGCAACUCCCUCUCCCUUCUCCACUCCAUAAGGAGCAAGCUCCUAGCUGAAAUCAGCACUUGGGAUAAUGGCACCCUGUGCCUGGAAAUCCCGGCGCCCAAAGAGAAGAAUAGACUCAGGAAACCCAUUGCAGAGAAAAUGUGUCCUGAUCAGAAUAACAGCAGCAUCUAGCAGCUGAAAUGGCUCCUGGGGAAGGAGUUCCAGAGAUACCAGCCCAACUCCAAGCUGGAGAAGCCAACAACCUGGAGAUGCCUGUCAGCUACAGAAAUAACAGCUGAGGUAAGUACAUUAUCCUGCAAUCACACUUGCUGCCCUUACUUUUAGACAAAACUCCAGCUUGAGUCUCCCUGUGUAACACUUCUUUCCUCCUCUGCCCUUUCAGCUUUUGCAACAUCUGCCAAAAGCCUACAGCAGGAUAUUUGCCAAGCGGAUGCCUGCUACAUGAGGAGGAGCUCUGCAAUUCCUGAAUCUCCAUUCAGCAAACACCAAAACCUGGCUGAAGCUGAUCUGCUGUUUCCAGAGGUCACAAAAGGUGCCUAAGGACUCUGGUGCUGCUUCUGCACCUGCCUCAACCCACUAGCUGCCUGCAAACCAAGCAGCACUGAAACCUUCCUGCAGCCUCGGGAGGCCUUGGUAGACCAAGACUACUUUUAUGUGCUUCCUGGACACUUGCUCAUAUGCCAGAGGAGAUCAUGACUUGCUGUACAAGUCCCCUCACUCCUCUCAUGAGUAGGAAGAACGAUUUCCUUUAGCAGAGCAUUACUAUGCUCGGAUGUCUGCUUCCCUUCUUCCAGGAGGACAGAAAUGAUCCCACCACGUGGACAGAGUUAUUCUAAAAGAAUGUGAGCUGUAAUCCUCCUGUGAGGAUGACGGAGUUGUUCAGAGAGGAACACUGGCUAUUCUUAACCUUAGUGAGGUUGUACGUGUAGAUCUGUUGAGAACACAGUAACUUCUAAGAUGCUCAGGCUAGCUUUUUCAAAGUGUCUGGUCAGGAGGAGCCUCUUCCUCUGACCUACCUCACUUGAGACUCCCAUAUUCCUGGCUACUGCACUGCCUGGCUGUGGGGACCCAAGGUGGCUCAAGCAGAGCAGCAGGUCUAACUGGACACCUCUGAAAACCUAGCUUCCCUACAGGAGCCAUAAUGGGCUCUACAAUAUUUGUAGACUGUACUGAGCAUGCUCUGGAAAUGGUUAAGCCAUAACUCAAACUAUGUAGAGGAAAUUCCUCAGGAUGUCUUGCUUACAGAGUCAGAGUACUGCUUGUGAGAUGCAGGAUACGUGUGCCUUUUAUAAAGGCAAAAGCUCAGUUUUAUAUCCUUGUAGGAAAGAAGGUUACGGCUGUGUUGUUGAGUUUACAUUUAUCAAAGUCUUUCAUGAAAGGCAGGUGUACAAAU